rnacentral:tRNA from 2 species
CGCGGGGUGGAGCAGUCUGGUAGCUCGUCGGGCUCAUAACCCGAAGGUCGUAGGUUCAAAUCCUACCCCCGCCA